CUAAGAAUCUUCCGCAAUGGGCGAAAGCCUGACGGAGAGACGCCGCGUGAACGAAGAAGGCCGUGAGGUUGUAAAGUUCUUUUCGGGAGGGGGAACAACCGUGGCAGGGAAUGGCCGCGGGAUGACGUGAAUCCCGGAAUAAGCCCCGGCUAACUACGUGCCAGCAGCCGCGGUAACACGUAGGGGGCGAGCGUUGUUCGGAAUCAUUGGGCGUAAAGGGCGUGCAGGCGGUCCUGCAAGUCCGGCGUGAAAGACCCCGGCCCAACCGGGGGGACGCGCUGGAAACUGCAGGGCUUGAGUACAGGAGGGGAUGCAGGAAUUCCAGGUGUAGGGGUGAAAUCAGAAGAUAUGAGGAAGAACACCAAUGGCGAAGGCAGGCAUGUGGCCAUGUACCGACGAGGAGACGAGAAGGUGCGGGGAGCAAACAGGUUAAGAUACCCUGGUAGUCCGCACAGUAAACGAUGUGCACCA
rnacentral:rRNA from 1 species